GACGAACGCUGGCGGCGUGCUUAACACAUGCAAGUCGAACGGAAAGGCCCUGCUUUUGUGGGGUGCUCGAGUGGCGAACGGGUGAGUAACACGUGAGUAACCUGCCCUUGACUUUGGGAUCACUUCAGGAAACUGGGGCUAAUACCGGAUAGGAGCUCCUGCUGCAUGGUGGGGGUUGGAAAGUUUCGGCGGUUGGGGAUGGACUCGCGGCUUAUCAGCUUGUUGGUGGGGUAGUGGCUUACCAAGGCUUUGACGGGUAGCCGGCAUGAGAGGGUGAACGGCCACAUUGGGACUGAGAUACGGCCCAGACUCCUACGGGAGGCAGCAGUGGGGAAUAUUGUACAAUGGGCGGAAGCCUGAUGCAGCAGCGCCGCGUGUGGGAUGACGGCCUUCGGGUUGUAAACCGCUUUCGCCUGUGACGAAGCGUGAGUGACGGUAAUGGGUAAAGAAGCACCGGCUAACUACGUG
rnacentral:rRNA from 1 species